ACAGGUAACGCACAGGUGAGACAGGUGGGACAGGUGAGGGACAGGUAACGCACAGGUGAGACAGGUGAGCGACAGGUGAGACAGGUGGGACAGGUGAGGGACAGG